rnacentral:rRNA from 1 species
AUACGAAGGGGGCUAGCGUUGUUCGGAAUUACUGGGCGUAAAGCGCACGUAGGCGGACUAUUAAGUCAGGGGUGAAAUCCCGGGGCUCAACCCCGGAACUGCCUUUGAUACUGGUAGUCUAGAGUCCGGAAGAGGUGAGUGGAAUUCCGAGUGUAGAGGUGAAAUUCGUAGAUAUUCGGAGGAACACCAGUGGCGAAGGCGGCUCACUGGUCCGGUACUGACGCUGAGGUGCGAAAGCGUGGGGAGC